GUUCAUUUCUGGGUCGUGCUACAAGUGAGAAACUAACGGCCGUUUGGCUGUCCAAUCGCGUGACUGUGGACAUUUGAAAGCAGACUUCCGCCCGCCUUUUCUACCGUUGGAAAUGCAAGAUGCGGCGACUUGACUUCAGACACCGAGAGAGGCUGGCGGCCCAGGUCUUGUGGCCACAUCUGUCCAAGCUCCUACUCUGAUUGAACAGUUGGAUGAUCAGACUGAUGAUGAAAAGUGCUACACAGUUCUCACACAUCUUCUGACUCCGAAGCCGCUGCAGUGUAAAAUCUGAGAUGUCUUUUCUGGUUGAUUUUGUGCAGAUUUCUGACAGCGAUGGUGAGGGAAGCAGUGUACCGAACUCUCAGAUGACUCGGACCAGGUGACCAAACCCAUGCAAAGCACAAUGACUGUGCUGAGGCGUUCCGCCCCCCUCCCUCUCCACACCACUCAAGGCACGGCGGCGGCCCAACCGCAAACUAACGGAGAUUAACAUGAGGCUGGACGCUUGGCUCCCUGCUGCGUCCAUCACCAGAGGGGCCGGGAUUGCUGCGGCAGCUGGCCAAUUAAAGGAGGAGGAUGAAGGAGAGGAGUCUGACGAUGCAGACAUCGCCAUCGUAUGCAGUCCACGCCCUCGCAGGAAAACCAGCCAAUGAAAACGCUGGCAGCAGCAUCAGCAGAACACACCGGCACGACUGACAGAGCUUCUGAAGCAUGCAGUGGAAGACCUGUCAGUCAAGCUAAAGGUCCCGCCCUACAACCUGCUGCUGCUGCACGGAGAGGCGGAACUUAACACCUCACACACUAUUGGCCAGCUAGGACUCUGCAUCGCUGACAUCUUUGUCUGGAACCAACUUCACAUCCCUCUUCACUGCACUACUGACACUGAGAUGGAAUCCACAACCCAACCACUAGUGGUCUGCAUUGGGAACCUGAAGAGUCUGUCAUCACCGCCAGGAAUGACCGUGUGACCAUUCCCGUUGCAGACGGCCUGACUUGCACAAUUGACAAGCUGUUCAAGCUUUACUGGGUCUGCAACUUGUUAUAUCCAGCACAGCUCAGCUCUGUUUUCACCUUCUUUGAAUAUGUUUAUGACGUUCCCAUCUCAACCAACAAACGAACAAAGGCACUACAACUUCUCUCAAAGCUUCCCAGCAGCCCAGUGAUCACUCAACAUGUGUUUAUGCCCAAAAUGUAAAUAGUUACUACAGACAUCAAGAAAGUAGUUUGGCAUCUUUGUCAUGUACACGCUUUGUCAGAUGCACAGGAUAUGAUGAUAAUUUGCAGCCAAGAUGGCUGUUCAAGUGUACAAGGACUUACUAUGUAGACACCACCUACGUAGACACCACCAGUCCACAACAACAGAAAUGGGAGUAUCUUUCAAUGACUCUUUUGAAUCCACUGACAUUCAGACAGCCUAUGCAGCUUCAAGUAACACCUGAAGAAAGAGCAUUUUGUGUCCCUUCUCAAGGACCGAUUCUCCAUAAUUUACCACUUAAUGACAAUUUAUCUGUGUUCAUGCUUGUUAGGAUUAUUACAGGGAAUUAUUUUGAUUAUCAUUUUGGCAACACUUUAUUUUAUCAUUACAUCUAUCAGCUCUAAUACAUACAGUGUUAAUGCCUGUAUGCAUACAGUGUUAAUGCCUGUAUGCUGUAUAAGUAACUUGUAAGGCAUGCACUAAGCAAAAUCAAACAUACGUUAGGCAUGUAUUCGCAAAUGCCUUGUUCAUGCACAAUUUGGGAUUUAUUACCUAAUAUAACCUCAGUAAGGACCUAACAAAUGUUUGAUUUCGCUUAGUACAUGCCUUACAAGUUACUUAUACAGGCAUUAACCCAUUGAUACUGGAUGUUGCGUUGUGCAACAUUGGCCCUGGCGCCUGUAUGUAUUUGUAUG